CUGGCGGCAUGCCUUACACAUGCAAGUCGAACGGCAGCAUAGAGGAGCUUGCUCCUCUGAUGGCGAGUGGCGAACGGGUGAGUAAAGCAUCGGAACGUGCCGUGUAGUGGGGGAUAACGUAGCGAAAGUUACGCUAAUACCGCAUACGCACCGAGGUGGAAAGCAGGGGAUCGCAAGACCUUGCGCUAUACGAGCGGCCGAUGUCAGAUUAGCUAGUUGGUAGGGUAAAGGCCUACCAAGGCGACGAUCUGUAGCGGGUCUGAGAGGAUGAUCCGCCACACUGGGACUGAGACACGGCCCAGACUCCUACGGGAGGCAGCAGUGGGGAAUUUUGGACAAUGGGGGAAACCCUGAUCCAGCCAUGCCGCGUGAGUGAAGAAGGCCUUCGGGUUGUAAAGCUCUUUCGGCUGGGAAGAAAUCGCACAGGCUAAUACUCUGUGUGGAUGACGGUACCAGCACAAGAAGCACCGGCUAACUACGUG
rnacentral:rRNA from 1 species